UCAACACCAUGAAUGACGUCGUAGCUACAAAACUUAAAGAAUGGGGAUUUGAAGAUUUUAUAGAUAAUUUUCGUCUAACAAUAUUGAUGAAAUAAUAAGUGUACCUGAAACAAGUGCCAGUUCAUUAUCAUCAUCUGAUCAUUCUGUUCUCUGUGCACAUAUGUCUUUGAAUAAAAUUGACCUUGAUCUGAGACAAAUAUUGCAAAAGAAAUAUCCAAAUAUCUUGUCCUUGCUAACAGAACGCAAACAAAUUGGCUGGUGUGACAAACAACGAAUUAAUCGACUGUUUGUUUCGGCACUCACUGAUAAAUAUGGACCUUUCCCUCGUACAACACAGAAAGUCAGUCUGGCACAGUUAAUUAUAAAAGAAUUUCCAUCUUUGAAAGGUCAUGAGGGAAAAGCUUAUAAACAGUGGUUUUAUGAAGGACAAAAUAAAAGCGCGACAUCUGGUAGAAGACAGAAUUAGAAACUGGAGAAAACGUCUUAGUCCUGGGAAUAAAGCAGCAUUUGGAAUCAAAUCGCACAAGAAAAAAAAAGUGAUGAUUGCAGUAAAGAGAUAACAGAGUGUUCCACACAAAACACAGCAAUUAGCCAACAUAUUCUUCAAAUGCAGCAAUGGUUGAAAGAAAACUCUACGCCAAAAUCUAUUGUAAUUGAACGUAUGCGCGAUACUGCAGCUGCAAGAGACACAUUUUUAUUUUUGAAGAGAAACAUACUCUUACGGAAAUUCUUGACGCUUGGCCUCGUUUGUUAGAUGUAGAAAUUAUAGACGCAGAAUUUGUACGACGAUAUUCACAACAACAAGAAGAUUCUCUUUGUAAUGAAUUCGGAUUACUUUCCAAAGAUUAAUCUUUCAAGCCAAAAAUUGUGGUCGUACAGGAGCUGCAAAGCUUGCACAAGAAUUAAGUGCGCAAGAUUCUGACCGGAUCAUAAUUGCAUUGCAAUUGCUUCCAUUUCUUCUUCCUCAAAUGGUAUUUAUAAUCAAAGAGGGAGAUAAAAAGGAAACUGUUAAGAGGAUCAAACCAACUCCACAGAUUUCUAAGUUGCACUUUAUCGAUGUUGUUCCUGAAACAACAAAUUUGGAUUACUACCUUGUUAAUGAUCGUUUAGGAUCAGAUAAGCAUCGAAAGCAACCGUUUAUUCUACUCACUGGAGAAGAAUCUCGACCAAGACAAAUAUUUGUCAUUGUAGAGAAUCAUGCCAUUAACGUGCCAACUGUUUUAAAAGGUGUAGACGUGUGUUUUAAAAUACAUUUUGUUUGUGACAUACAUUACUCUGAAUUCUGCAAAAAUGUAUGGUAUUUUUUAGAUGUUGUAUUUUAUAAAACUGGUACUCUUAGUGAUAAGAAUAUUCCAGCUUCUGUACGAGAAUUAAAAGCGCAGCUAUUUUGUU